rnacentral:rRNA from 1 species
GACGAACGCUGGCGGCGUGCCUAAUACAUGCAAGUAGAACGCUGAAGAGAGGAGCUUGCUCUUCUUGGAUGAGUUGCGAACGGGUGAGUAACGCGUAGGUAACCUGCCUGGUAGCGGGGGAUAACUAUUGGAAACGAUAGCUAAUACCGCAUAAAAUUGAUUAUUGCAUGAUAAUUAAUUGAAAGAUGCAAUUGCAUCACUACCAGAUGGACCUGCGUUGUAUUAGCUAGUUGGUGAGGUAACGGCUCACCAAGGCGACGAUACAUAGCCGACCUGAGAGGGUGAUCGGCCACACUGGGACUGAGACACGGCCCAGACUCCUACGGGAGGCAGCAGUAGGGAAUCUUCGGCAAUGGGGGGAACCCUGACCGAGCAACGCCGCGUGAGUGAAGAAGGUUUUCGGAUCGUAAAGCUCUGUUGUAAGAGAAGAACGGGUGUGAGAGUGGAAAGUUCACACUGUGACGUAUCUACCAGAAAG